rnacentral:siRNA from 1 species
ACCCUCUCUCCAUUUGAAGCCUA